rnacentral:rRNA from 1 species
CCUACGGGUGGCAGCAGUGAGGAAUAUUGGGCAAUGGGGGCAACCCUGACCCAGCCAUGCCGCGUGAGUGAAGAAGGUCUUCGGAUUGUAAAGCUCUUUCGGACGUGACGAUGAUGACGGUAGCGUCUAAAGAAGCACCGGCAAACUUCGUGCCAGCAGCCGCGGUAAUACGAAGGGUGCGAGCGUUGUUCGGAAUUACUGGGCGUAAAGGGAGUGUAGGCGGAUAUGUAAGAUAGCGGUGAAAUGCCGGGGCUCAACCCCGGCGAGCCGUUGAAGCUGUCGGACUAGAGACGGCGAGAAGUACGCGGAAUGCGCGGUGUAGCGGUGAAAUGCAUAGAUAUCGCGCAGAACUCCGAUUGCGAAGGCAGCGUACCGGCGCCGGACUGACGCUGAGGCACGAAAGCGUGGGUAUCGAACAGGAUUAGAUACCCGUGUAGUC